GUUUUGUGCUAAGGUGGUUAUC
rnacentral:snRNA from 1 species